rnacentral:rRNA from 1 species
AUUGAACGCUGGCGGAAUGCUUUACACAUGCAAGUCGAACGGCAGCACGGACUUCGGUCUGGUGGCGAGUGGCGAACGGGUGAGUAAUGUAUCGGAACGUGCCCAGUCGUGGGGGAUAACGUAGUGAAAAUUACGCUAAUACCGCAUACGAUCUAUGGAUGAAAGCGGGGGAUCGCAAGACAUCGCGCGAUUGGAGCGGCCGAUAUCAGAUUAGGUAGUUGGUGGGGUAAAGGCCCACCAAGCCAACGAUCUGUAGCUGGUCUGAGAGGACGACCAGCCACGCUGGAACAUAGACGCGGUCCAGACUCCUACGGGAGGCAGCAGUGGGGAAUUUUGGAAAAUGGGCGAAAGCCUGAUUCAGCCAUUCCGCGUGCAGGAUGAAGGCCCUCGGGUUGUAAACUGCUUUUGUACAGAACGAAAAGGUUUCUACUAAUACUAGGAGCUCAUGACGGUACUGUAAGAAUAAGCACCGGCUAACUACGUGCCAGCCGCCGCCGUAA